rnacentral:rRNA from 1 species
UUUAACAUGAGAGUUUGAUCCUGGCUCAGGAUGAACGCUGGCGGCGUGCUUAACACAUGCAAGUCGAACGAAGCACUUUAUUUGAUUUCCUUCGGGACUGAUUAUUUUGUGACUGAGUGGCGGACGGGUGAGUAACGCGUGGGUAACCUGCCUUGUACAGGGGGAUAACAGUUGGAAACGGCUGCUAAUACCGCAUAAGCGCACAGCAUCGCAUGAUGCAGUGUGAAAAACUCCGGUGGUAUAAGAUGGACCCGCGUUGGAUUAGCUAGUUGGUGAGGUAACGGCCCACCAAGGCGACGAUCCAUAGCCGACCUGAGAGGGUGACCGGCCACAUUGGGACUGAGACACGGCCCAAACUCCUACGGGAGGCAGCAGUGGGGAAUAUUGCACAAUGGGCGAAAGCCUGAUGCAGCGACGCCGCGUGAGCGAAGAAGUAUUUCGGUAUGUAAAGCUCUAUCAGCAGGGAAGAUAAUGACGGUACCUGACUA